GCAUCUUGAAGAUGAUGUGGGUGUCCAGGAGCAUGGCAAGAAAAAAAAAAAUGUUCCAAACUGUGACCUCCAUGCUCACUCCAUCCUGAGCUGUUAUCCUGGAAAAAUGGUGCCAAACUCCAAUCAAAUUCAUUCUCCCCGGGUACUGGAGAGAUGGUUCAGUGGUUAACAGCACUGCUGUUCUUGGAGAGGACCUGAAUUUUGUUUCCAGCAAUUACAUCUGGUGGCUCACAGCCCUCUAUAACUCCAGCUCCCAGGAGAUCUGGCACCCUCUUCUGGCUCCCAUAGCACGAUCUUGACCACUGGAUGGGCUUUAAUGGAUUCUUCCCCCAAGAAGAGCUGUUUGACAUUUGAGCUCACGAGGAGCUGCAUCCCGUCUUCUUUUAAAACAGAGCUCAGGCAGUCUAUUUCUUAGAAGAUUGAUGAGUUUGUACUGGCUGGAAGAGGAUGUGUCUCGAGAGGAUGCUGGGGAGAAUUAAAAGAGCAUUAAUCACAAGACUAGAGUGCUGGUCUGAGCUCAUCUCCUGGAUGUGAACUGGGACAUGCCCCUUAACCCAGCCACACCCUAGGCUCACCAAAAAUAAAACACUGUGUAGUCUUCUCUA